GGCCUAUGCAAUAAUGUAUGAGACAACCAAGUUAGCUUACCGGGUUUCAGAAGCUGAUGUUACCCGUGCACGCAAUCAGUUGAAAUCUUCUCUAUUGCUUCACAUUGACGGAACAAGCCCAGUAGCUGAAGAUAUUGGGCGUCAGCUGCUUACAUACGGUCGUAGAAUUCCGUUUGCCGAAUUGUUUGCAAGAAUUGAUGCUGUUGAUGCAAGCACAAUAAAACGUGUUGCGAAUCGGUUUAUUUAUGAUAGGGAUGUCGCAAUUGCCGCAUUGGGUCCCAUCCAAGGUUUGCCUGACUACAACUGGUUCAGA
rnacentral:misc_RNA from 1 species